AGAGUUUGAUCAUGGCUCAGAUUGAACGCUGGCGGCAGGCCUAACACAUGCAAGUCGAACGGGGUGUUUAUUUCGGUAAACACCAAGUGGCGAACGGGUGAGUAACGCGUGAGGAACCUGCCUUACAGAGGGGGAUAACGUCUGGAAACGGACGCUAAUACCGCAUGACAUCUUUUUCCCGCAUGGGGAAGGGAUCAAAGGAGCAAUCCGCUGUAAGAUGGACUCGCGUCCGAUUAGCUAGAUGGCGGGAUAACAGCCCACCAUGGCGACGAUCGGUAGCCGGACUGAGAGGUUGAACGGCCACAUUGGGACUGAGACACGGCCCAAACUCCUACGGGAGGCAGCAGUAGGGAAUCUUCCACAAUGGACGCAAGUCUGAUGGAGCAACGCCGCGUGAGUGAAGAAGGUUUUCGGAUCGUAAAGCUCUGUUGUUGGUGAAGAAGGAUAGAGGUAGUAACUGGCCUUUAUUUGACGGUAAUCAACCAGAAAGUCACGGCUAACUACGUGCCAGCAGCCGCGGUAAUACGUAGGGUGCAAGCGUUAUCCGGAUUUAUUGGGCGUAAAGGGAACGCAGGCGGUCUUUUAAGUCUGAUGUGAAAGCCUUCGGCUUAACCGAAGAAUUGCAUUGGAAACUGGAGGACUUGAGUGCAGAAGAGGAGAGUGGAACUCCAUGUGUAGCGGUGGAAUGCGUAGAUAUAUGGAAGAACACCAGUGGCGAAGGCGGCUCUCUGGUCUGCAACUGACGCUGAGGCUCGAAAGCAUGGGUAGCGAACAGGAUUAGAUACCCUGGUAGUCCACGCCGUAAACGAUGAAUGCUAGGUGUUGGAGGGUUUCCGCCCUUCAGUGCCGCAGCUAACGCAAUAAGCAUUCCGCCUGGGGAGUACGACCGCAAGGUUG
rnacentral:rRNA from 1 species